UACGUAGGGACCGAGCGUUGUCCGGAAUCAUUGGGCGUAAAGAGCGUGUAGGCGGCUAUUUAAGUCCUGCGUGAAAUCCUGCGGCUCAACCGCAGACGGUCGUGGGAAACUGGAUGGCUAGAGUGCGGGAGAGGAGAGUGGAAUUCCCGGUGUAGCGGUGAAAUGCGCAGAUAUCGGGAAGAACACCCGUGGCGAAGGCGGCUUUACUGGAACGCAACUGACGCUGAGACGCGAAAGCGUGGGGAGCAAACAGG
rnacentral:rRNA from 1 species